AAGUCGUAACAAGGUCUCCGUAGGUGAACCUGCGGAGGGAUCAUUACCGAGUGAGGGCCCCCGGCCCGACCUCCAACCCCUUUUGUAAACCAGCACCCUGUUGCCUGCGGGGACGUCCGGCGUCGUUCGGGCGCCCGGGCCCCGGUGCACCCCCAACUCUGCGUCUUUGCGUCUGAGUCUUGAAUGAUAAAUCAAUAAAAA
rnacentral:misc_RNA from 1 species